AUGGACUUGAUCGGAGUUCGAAGGUUCUUGGACAAACUACCAUUGGUACCUUCUUCAUGGUUUAGUUUGGUUUGAUAAUCAAGCUGGUGACGAUGCAUUUGAAUCAGACAUCAAGUGCAAAGGAAAUUGCCAAACUUAAGGUUUUUAGCUUCCAUAAAUUAUUGUGCAAACUAAGUUAGGAUCUUGGAUUAUGAUGUUGGCAUAUGUCCAUUAUGGCUGGACGUACCGCAGUAAUCAGCUGCUAAUGGUUCUCGACCCGUAUUCAGUAUGGCAGAUUUUGCCAUUAUCUAUUAUCUUCCCCUGUUUUGCUAUUCCUGGAUGUAUAGUUGAACUGAAGAACGAAUCCUCUGCACAUAAGUGCUUGAAUACCUUGACCCAGGACGAC